GGUCUCAGCACCACAGGCUCUAAGAUGGAGUGACUGCUAGAGACAGAAAUCAUGGCAACAAGUAGAACAUUUUCUGUCCACAUCCAGAGGGAGAAGCCACAGGAGGAAAUACCUUGAAGCUUGUGGGACGUGCCUGGUGAGGAUAUUCCGUUCAAUGACACAUCUGUCAUCUUUACAUGUUGACCAGCCAACAAGAACUUGCUGAGUACAGGACGGACAAGGUUGGCAUUCCGCUGGCUCUACAGGGGAUCAACGGGAAGGAUGGAGAGAACAGCUUGUGUGCCAGGUGGGGAGACGGACAUGGACCAAUACUGAAUAACCUACAACACAAUGGUUUAGAAAGAGAAUUCAAGGUAUGUGGACUGGACUUAAGCCAUGGCUAAGCUCACAAAAGACUUCCUGGAAGAAGAUGUACAGCCUAUGGUGAGGCACAACCUCCCUGUCUGUACUGCGAGUUCUUGGGUCAAGACACAACUCACCUCUACCUAUCUGUACACUGACAGCAAAGUCCUUUUAAUAUCAAACAGAAAUGAAUGACAAUGAUGGUGACCACAUUUCCCAAACCCACGAACGGUCAGGUUUCUGUGGCGCCUCUCCAUUUGAGAGGCUCUCUGAAAGCCAGUCGUGGAUAGCAUGCUUCCAUGUGUAUGUAAAUAACAAGACAUAUGGAACAUGUUAAAUCGGAAGACUGUUCCAUAUCCAGAAUUACUAAUGUACUAAUAAUCCUUUGAAUCCUCAAAAAAAACAAAAAACACUAUACUUUUAUGCCAAAGUAGAUGGAAUGGGUGACUAGAGAUAAAGCUGAAGAAAUUUCAGAUUUAAAAUCUGACUGGCCCAUUCACCAGCAGACUUAGGAAAGUGCUAACUGCGAAGCUGGCCAGUAUUCAGCUCGACAGUCCUAAAAACAAACGGAACCCUUUGGAGCUGGAAAGUGGUAUCAUAAAAGCCGCCGAAUGCGGUGCUUCUAGAGCGGCCCACCAGGAAAAUAUGACAGUUUACAUCUUUACGUAGCCUAAUGUACAGUGGGAAUAUAAAUAUCUCGUUCAGGCCCCAGUCACUGCCUGGAAUGGGAUGCUUUCCUUAACAAGAAGCAGAUGAGAGGCCCAGAAGCCAAACCUCUUAUUCUGUUGGUCUGAAGGCUGUAGUUUUCAGUCGGUCAGCACAGAGAGUGGCAAUUCAGGGAGGGAAGGCACUGCAUGUGUUUCCUUGGUCAGGACAAAAGCUUGUAGCUCUUUUCCUGGGCCCCCUGAGGCUCUCGUACGUUGAGUGUCCCGCAUGUGGUCAGCGGCUU
rnacentral:lncRNA from 1 species